rnacentral:rRNA from 1 species
CUACGGAAGGUGCAAGCGUUACUCGGAAUCACUGGGCGUAAAGCGCGCGCAGGCGGCUUGGUAAGUUGGAUGUGAAAGCCUACGGCUCAACCGUAGAACUGCAUCCAAAACUGUCAAGCUAGAGUGUGGGAGAGGAAGAUGGAAUUAGUUGUGUAGGGGUAAAAUCCGUAGAGAUAACUAGGAAUACCAAAAGCGAAGGCAAUCUUCUGGAACACUACUGACGCUGAGGCGCGAAAGCGCGGGGAGCAAACAGGAUUAGAAACCCUAGUAGUCC